rnacentral:snoRNA from 1 species
ACUUAGUAUGUGUACUUACUGUAAAUAUUGACAAAGGAAAAAAAAUAUGUAGGCUUUAGGUAGGGCUUUAAGUUGGUACUGAAUCAGUUCCUGAUUACUCACAAAGGACCUACAACUACAA